UACGUAGGUGGCAAGCGUUGUCCGGAUUUACUGGGCGUAAAGGGUGCGUAGGUGGAUGUUUAAGUCAGAUGUGAAAUACCCGAGCUUAACUUGGGUGCUGCAUUUGAAACUGGAUAUCUAGAGUGCAGGAGAGGUAAGUGGAAUUCCUAGUGUAGCGGUGAAAUGCGUAGAGAUUAGGAAGAACACCAGUGGCGAAGGCGACUUACUGGACUGUAACUGACACUGAGGCAUGAAAGCGUGGGUAGCAAACAGG
rnacentral:rRNA from 1 species